rnacentral:antisense_RNA from 1 species
CUCAAUGGCGGCUUUGCUAGGGAGACCUUCGGGUCUGUUGGGUUCCUUGCUUCCCGGUCUUGCAUACCUGCGCGCACCUACCACCUAU